UGAGGAUGACGGCCUAYGGGUUGUAAACCKCUUUUUUCAGGGARGAAUAAAUGRCGUGUACCUGAAGAAUAAGSRUCGGCUAACUCCGUGCCAGCAGCCGCGGUAAGACGGAGGAUGCAAGUGUUAUCCGGAAUCACUGGGCGUAAAGCGUCUGUAGGUGGUUUAAKAAGUCAACUGUUAAAUCUUAABGCUCAACCUUGAAAUCGCMGUCGAAACUAUUAGACUAGAGUAUAGUAGGGGUAAAAGGAAUUUCCAAGUGGAGCGGUGAAAUGCGUAGAUAUGUGGGAAAGAACACCGAUG
rnacentral:rRNA from 1 species